AGUGAACGCUGGCGGUAGGCCUAACACAUGCAAGUCGAACGGCAGCACAGUAAGAGCUUGCUCUUACGGGUGGCGAGUGGCGGACGGGUGAGGAAUACAUCGGAAUCUACUUUUUCGUGGGGGAUAACGUAGGGAAACUUACGCUAAUACCGCAUACUACCUACGGGUGAAAGCAGGGGAUCUUCGGACCUUGCGCGAUUGAAUGAGCCGAUGUCGGAUUAGCUAGUUGGCGGGGUAAAGGCCCACCAAGGCGACGAUCCGUAGCUGGCCUGAGAGGAUGAUCCGCCACACUGGAACUGAGACACGGUCCAGACUCCUACGGGAGGCAGCAGUGGGGAAUAUUGGACAAUGGGCGAAAGCCUGAUCCAGCCAUACCGCGUGAGUGAAGAAGGCCUUCGGGUUGUAAAGCCCUUUUGUUGGGAAAGAAAAGCAGCAGGUUAAUCCCCCGCUGUUCUGACGGUACCCAAAGAAUAAGCACCGGCUAACUUCGUG
rnacentral:rRNA from 1 species